GAAGUUUGUUUCUGGGAGAGAAUAAAAAUUUUGCAGCUGUUUUACACUAUAAAGGAACUGCUUCCAAUCUGACUAGUCAGUCCCGAGUCGUUUCUUCUGAGGAGACAAGUUCAGGAACUUGGACAAGAUAGAGAUGAAGAUAACUGUAGCCACCUUUUGCUUACUUCUUCUGGCAGCUGCAGCCCAUGGUAAUUAAAUGUAGGAA